GAGUGGUCAUUGUUUUGCCCAAAUGAGGCUCCAGGUUUAUCUGAUUGUUGGGGUGAGGAAUUUGAAGAACUGUACACUAGAUAUGAAAGAGAGGUAAGCUUGACUGGAGCUUGAAGUUUGAAAAUUUUGGUACUUUCAUUCAAUGAAAAUGUUACACAUUGUCUUUGUAUUUGUUGGACUCGGGGCAAGGCAAAAAAAAGUCAUUCAGGCACAGACCCUAUGGUUUGAAAUUCUAAAAUCACAGAUAAAAACUGGAACACCGUAUAUGCUUUUCAAGGUAUUUUACUAAGUGAACAAAAGAUCCUCCAUAAUCAUUUAAAUCCCAUGGUUGUGUGGUUUUGAUGUUGAUUUGUUUAUUUAGGACACUUGCAAUAGUUCACAGACUGUCGUGCCUACUAUUGCUCCUGCUGUAGUUGGAGAUCGAAGGAUAUCUUUAGGUCCUGGAGUAGGUUGUGUCGGCCUUGCUGCACAGCUAGAACUAGGAUAUUGCCAAGCAAGGGAUGCCGUGCUUGCCAACAAUGUGUGACUUGCAUCCUAAUAUGGGCCACGUAUAAUCAGAAUCCUUCCUAUCCUCAGCGCAAGCAUCUGUUUCAGUUUCUCAGUGUUCAUCGAUCACCAGAUGGAAGGUGCUCCUAUCAAUUUUAGAGAAGUUCUUCUCCAAGUUUCUGAACUUACCUGAUGUAAAUGGGAGGUUGAGGAAGAUCAUCUCCAUCCUCUCAAGCGACCAGCCUCCCUACCCUCAGCUUUAUCUGUACUGCACAA